CAGUCAGUCAGCAGCCUUCUGUGCAGACGGCUGAAGAAGCCUCGGUGCUGUGGAGGACAGAGGAAGUGAGCUGAUCACAGAAGCAUCCUGUCUGGCUGGAGGCCACAGUCCAGAGGGAGAGCAAUGAAGACACUGACUGGGUCUUUGUUCCUGUGCUUCUGGCUGCAGCUGAACUGUGUGAGCAGAGGAGAGCAGGUGGAGCAGCGCCCGUCUCACCUGAGUGUCCGGGAGGGAGACAGUGCCGCUAUCGUCUGCACCUACACAGACCCUAACAAUUAUUACUUCUUCUGGUACAAGAAAGAGCUGGGGGCAGAUCUCCAGUUGCUUAUAAGUGUUCUUUCAAGUGUGGACAGAAAAGAAGGACAAGGACUCAUUGUCCUACUGAACAAGAAAGACAAACAUUUAUCUCUGAACAUCACAGCUGCCCAUCUUGGGGACUCAGCCAUGUACUUCUGUGCAGUUAGGCACAGUGCUCCCCAGGCACCUGCUGCCCGCGCACAAACCUGAGCCCCAAAAGACAUACUUUCCAACCUUUAAAGUGAAGAUAUUUCUGUAUUGUAUUAACAGUGGGACAUUUUUAAACAUCCUGAAAUUCUGUUUCCAAAGGCUACAGUGAGUUUUAGAACACUUUAGAUUAUUGGUGAAAGUGAAUUCUUAGGUAUAGAGGGUCUAGAAUCAAAGUUCAGGAUCCAUUUAGAGUCAAUUCCUCCACCAAAGGAACACAGUGUCACUAACAGAGAACGCUUUACUCAUGUUGAUGGAACAGCUCUUAAUUUUUUUAUAACUAUUUAUUGUUUCUUUUAGAAAAUAGGAGGUAAAAGAAAUAAAAUAU